rnacentral:rRNA from 1 species
GAUGAACGCUAGCUACAGGCUUAACACAUGCAAGUCGCGGGGCAGCAUUCACUUAGCUUGCUAAGUGAGAUGGCGACCGGCGCACGGGUGAGUAACGCGUAUCCAACCUGCCCUUGUCCACGGGAUAACCCGGUGAAAACCGGCCUAAUACCGUAUGAGGUCACAAGCGGACAUCCAACUGUGACGAAAGGUUUUGCGGACAAGGAUGGGGAUGCGUCCGAUUAGCUUGACGGCGGGGUAACGGCCCACCGUGGCUACGAUCGGUAGGGGUUCUGAGAGGAAGGUCCCCCACAUUGGAACUGAGACACGGUCCAAAACUCCUACGGGAGGCAGCAGUGAGGAAUAUUGGUCAAUGGGCGAGAGCCUGAACCAGCCAAGUAGCGUGCAGGAUGACGGCCCUAUGGGUUGUAAAACUGCUUUUGUGCGGGGAUAAAGUGUGGGACGCGUCCCAUAUUGCAGGUACCGCAUGAAUAAGGACCGGCUAAUUCCGUG